rnacentral:lncRNA from 1 species
AAGACUUUCUACAUAUUAAAGAGAAAUAUAACAAUGAUUGGUGGAUAGGAAGGCUGGUGAAAGAGGGCUGUGAAAUUGGCUUCAUUCCAAGUCCACUCAGAUUGGAGAACAUACGGAUCCAGCAAGAACAAAAAAGAGGACGUUUUCACGGAGGGAAAUCAAGUGGAAAUUCUUCUUCAAGUCUUGGAGAAAUGGUAUCUGGGACAUUCCGAGCAACUCCCACAUCAACAGACGGAGCACAUUCCUCCUUACGAUGUUGUACCGUCAAUGCGUCCGGUGGUGUUAGUGGGGCCGUCACUGAAAGGUUACGAGGUACAAAUAUCAUCUGUUACUCUUCAGUUCUUGAUCGAGCACCCAGGAGACAGUCAUGUUGACGCUUGCUCCUCAAGGGUCUGUUUCCACGUGGGUCCUGAUGGAAGCCAGUGCUCAGCAUGGGAAGGCAGGGGGUACCGUGUGGGGCUCAUGAGGCCCUCUGCCCUUUCUUUCCUCUCUUGCACACUUCUCAUCUUUUAUGUAUUACAUUGUUUAGAAAUACCUCCCUCAAAAUAUUCACAAUGGGAAGAUCUGGUCAAAGAUUUGCUGUACAUUAAAUGCAAAGAAAAGGA